AGUGAACGCUGGCGGCGUGCCUAAUACAUGCAAGUCGAACGGAGUGGCGCACGGGUGAGUAAGGUAUAGCUAAACUGCCCUACACUAGAGGACAACAGUUGGAAACGACUGCUAAUACUCUAUAGUGUAGGAUGAGGCUAUAUUGUAUCAGCUAGUUGGUGAGGUAAUGGCUCACCAAGGCUAUGACGCAUAACUGGUGUGAGAGGAUGAUCAGUAGCACUGGAAGUGAGGCACGGUCCGGGAUCCUGCGGGAGGCAGCAGUAGGGAAUAUUGCCCAAUGGGGGAAACCCUGAAGCAGCAACGCGGCGUGGAGGAUGACACUUUUCGGAGCGUAAACUCCUUUUGUUAGGGAAGCGGUACCUACCGAAUAAGCACCGGCUAACUCCGUGCCAGCAGCCGCGGUAAUUC
rnacentral:rRNA from 1 species